GUAGGUGAACCUGCGGAAGGAUCAUUAUUGAAUAAACCUGAUGUGGUUGUAGCUGACUCUCCGGAGUAUGUGCACACCCGUCAUCUUUAUAUUUCCACCUGUGAACACACUGUAGUCCUGGAUACCUCUCGCCGCGAGGCGGAUGCGGAGUUUGCGCAAGCUUACUCUGAAUUUCCAGGUCUAUGAUUUUACAAACCCCAAUUGAAUGUUACAGAAUGUUAUCAUCAGGCCUUGUGCCUAUAAAUUAUACAACUUUCAGCAACGGAUCUCUUGGCUCUC
rnacentral:misc_RNA from 1 species